ensembl:snRNA U6 U6 spliceosomal RNA
GUAAAUAUUUGAUUACAUCUUUUCAUGUGACAGCACUAAAGAAAUGACACUGUGCUCCAAUGUAAAGUAGCAUUACCCCUGCGCAAGGAUGACACGCAAAAUCGUGAAGCGUUACCAUAUUUU